rnacentral:rRNA from 1 species
AUCUACAGCCAUGUGACCCUGAACAAGCCCGAUCCUGUCUGAUCUUGGAAGCUAAGCAGGGUCAGGCCUGGUUAGUACUUGGAUGGGAGACCACCCAGGAAGACCAGGUGCUGUAGGCU